AGGACAGGAGCUGUUCAGGUAGUCGCAGGGCAGUCCGGUGUUCACACAGCGAGGUCCUCGAGUGUUCGGAGUGACGUCGCCGAGGUUACUGGAGGAGAAACCGGCAACGAAGCCUCCCUGAGUACGACCUCUACCAAUCAGAGGGUCGUGCAGUAGACUCUGUGCAGCCUGGUAGAUGGGAGCCAGGGCAGAGAUGACCUGGUGCUGCUCACAGUAACCUGAGCAGAAAGACCUGCAGCAGGUGUCAGCAGGGUCCUGUCACCUGUCCAGGUAGAUCUCCGGGGUUCUUGUCCUGCUCCAGCAGGUAGGAGGCGUAGCCCAUGUUGUCGCUGCUCACCAUUUGGUUGGUGAGGUUCAUGCUGACGGCGUGGACGGCAAACCAGCUGUGAGGAGGGGCGGAGUCGUACAGACAGUCAGACCAGCAUGGAGUAAAGACACAAGCUUUUAAACAGAUUCAUCAACAGCGGUGAGGGUUGUUCAGGUAGGAGUGAGGACUCCGGUUGAUGCUGCUGUCAUCCAGCUCCCCUCUGCUCCUGUAAAUCCUGCCCGGCUGUAUGGUUCUGUGGGCUAUGUCAAUACUCUGGAAAUGGAUGUUUACAGUUAAUAAUACAGACAUCAGGCCACGUCUAUUUUCUGAUAAAAAAGUUUGAUAUUCUUAUAUAGAGA